UGGGUAACCUGCCUCAAAGAGGGGAAUAGCCUCCCGAAAGGGAGAUUAAUACCGCAUAAUAUGUUUAAGUCGCAUGACUUUAACAUCAAAGGAUUUUCUUUUAGAACUUCCACUUUGAGAUGGACCCGCGGCGCAUUAGCUAGUUGGUGAGGUAACGGCUCACCAAGGCAACGAUGCGUAGCCGACCUGAGAGGGUGAUCGGCCACAUUGGAACUGAGACACGGUCCAGACUCCGUAGGGACG
rnacentral:rRNA from 1 species